AUACGAAUGGUGCAAGCGUUGUUCGGAAUCACUGGGCAUAAAGAGCACGUAGGCGGUGGUGUAAGUCAGAUGUGAAAUCCCUCGGCUCAACCGAGGAACUGCAUCUGAAACUGCACCGCUAGAGUGCGGGAGGGGAGAGCGGAAUUCCAGGUGGAGCGGUGAAAUGCUUAGCUAUCUGGAGGAACGCCGGAGGCGAAAGCGGCUCUCUGGCCCGCCACUGACGCUGAGGUGCGAAAGCUAGGGGAGCAAACAGGAUUAGAUACCCCGGUAGUCC
rnacentral:rRNA from 1 species